GAUGAAGAACGUAGCGAACGUGCGAAACGUAAUGUGAAUUGCAGAAUUCAGUGAAUCAUCGAAUCUUUGAACGCACAUUGCGCCCGCCAGUAUUCUGGCGGGCAUGCCUGUUCGAGCGUCAUUUCAACCCUCAAGCACAGCUUGGUGUUGGGACUCGCGUUAAUUCGCGUUCCCCAAAUUGAUUGGCGGUCACGUCGAGCUUCCAUAGCGUAGUAGUAAAACCCUCGUUACUGGUAAUCGUCGCGGCCACGCCGUUAAACCCCAACUUCUGAAUGUUGACCUCGGAUCAGGUAGGAAUACCCGCUGAACUUAAGCAUAUCAAUAAGCGGAGGA
rnacentral:misc_RNA from 1 species